CCUGUGGAGAACAGAGACAUGUUAGGUACCAAUGCUGCCGUGUCCAGACCACCCUACUCCUCAGGGUCCAGACCACCCUACUCCUCACUCCUCAGGGUCCAGACCACCCUACUCCUCAGGGUCCAGACCACCCUACUCUUCACCUGUGGGAGAUGGAAGCCUCACCUGGCUCAGUCCUUCCCUCUUAAAGCCAGCUGAGCAAGAGCCAGUGCCCUGAAUGCCAGUAAGUCAGCAGUGGGAGACAUGUGGCACAUUCCAGGAUCUGACCUCAUAUUUGGGUGUGCAUACACUGAUUUCUGUGGCAGCAGCUAUCCUGAGCUGGACAAGCUGAACACCAACAAGAGGAAGCUGCUGAAGGAGUAACAUUGCUCUAACCAAACUUAUUAGAAGAGAGGUAAAACCCCCAAGUCUUCCAGCUACUUAAAACAUAUAACAUACAAACAUAGACAUACAAACAUGACUGCACUGGGACAGUUAUAUAAAUCCCAUUUUGUGUACUGUAGAGUUAGGCAUGCACAAGCAACUGAAUGGUUUAUCCUACCGUAGGAAUAAGCUCAGAAAUGCCAGUUGAGUAACUGGUCUCCUGACAAUUUGGCAUGUUUAACAGCUGAAUCAUACCUGAUCAGGCAUGCACUGCUUUUUCUAGACACCUCCAGAGCUCCAAUCUUAAUUCUCCCUGCCCCUCUUGUAAGGUUUCCUUUAAAUGUGUGUACAGUGACUACAAGGCCUGUUUGUGCUGUCCCAGAGAGCACGUAGCAGCUCUAAGCUUGACACCUUUCACAGCAGCACUGAGUACUGUGAAUGCUUUGUGUACAGCUCCUGAGGCAGGACUGGAGACUUGUAGGACAUACAAGUAAGCAGCCACACUGGCUUUUGUAGCAAACAAAAAGAGCAAAAAGCUCAGUUAACGGCAAGAUCAAAAUACUGUAAAAUUGGAGAUGAUGUUGAAGUAGUUAUCUUUGAUCUUCUUCCCAGGAGUACAGGUGUUAUGUUCCAUGUGAACAGCAGGAAGCUGAGGUGCUCACUGCAGUCACACAAGCACGUUCACACUGACCUCAAUUCCUGGAGGACAUUGUGUCCAACCCAGAACCCCAAACAUACGAAGUGUAACUGCACUGACUGCCUCAUCACAAGACCAGAGCACCAAUUCUGCUGACUACCUUUAUGUAACAUGUAAGCUACUUAAACCUUUUAAAGCCUCAGGCUUCUCACACUGCCACAGUAAAUUCAAUUAUACCUGAAGCAUUUGUACACUUGUUUUAUGCAGCAGAGAGACAUUAAAUAGAGUAAAGAAGCACACACCAAAACAGGUGUUUCCCUAUUCUACUGUAUACUUUCCAAGCUAGUACACCUCAUUUGGACUUGUAUUUUUCAGUCUCAGGUCUCUUUCCCCACUCCCUCUCUUCAUUAAUGAUUAUUUCCACUAGGUUCUUGACUCCCAGCAGAUACUUCACCAAUAUUAAGAGUCCUUAAGGUUCCUAGAUCAACUGGCUGAACAUGAAAUGCAGCUGACAUUCAAGAAGCAGCAGGAACACACACACAACAUUCAAGUAAACUGGAAAAGUUGCAAUGAUCACAGUCAAAUUAUUUAAGCACUACAGUGUUUCUAGUGCAAGAAGAAAAGAAGGAAGAAACAUUUAUGGUCUUCCCAAGCCAAAGUCAGCAAGGAACUGCAAGCCCAACAGUGAUUUGUGUAAUUGAGAAAUGCAGCACAUUUACCUUAUUGGCUCCAAACUGUACUCUGGCUUUUCCUUUGACUAAAGUGGCAUUGAUCUGCAUGAUGACUGAUUCUAUUGAGUAGGCACUGCUCCAGCCCUGGAGGAGGAAAAGAAUGCUAACAUACAACAUGUACUUGCUUCUUGUGCUCACCUCAACAAAUCUGUUUUGGAACAUGUGCUUGGGGAUUUUUUUUUUCCCUGCAUUCCAGUUUCAACUACUGAUUUUCAGUUAACAUUUAUUUUCCACAAAAAUCUGUAGAUUUAUAUACAGUCCUAGUACCAAGAACUCGUAAGAAGAAUGAGAAGGCUGAAUUACAUUUCCAAAAUACAGCAAGACAGGAACCAAAAAAGCUCCAUCCUUACACCAUUGACACAUUUUCAGCAAUGUCACAACAGAAAUGACAAAUCCUUUUUUCAAGAAGUAGACAAGACUGAUCUCUAAUGAAGUCAAUUCAGUAAGUUGUAAGAAUUUUUCUCAUCUCUGGUAUUGCUUUACCUUCCAGAGUUAGCAAGAGUUUCUGCAAGAGCCUGCAAGUAAGUUACUUCAUUAAUUUACUUAUUUUAAAGAGAAAAUCACUCUGUCUACACAAAUCAUCUAUGACUGUAAUCAUCUGUAUUCCUCACUUCUCCAGAGCUCACUUUACGCAGUUGAAGAGGCUUCUAGAAAAGAAACCAACAGGUCUUACUUCCCAGAGCUCACUCUCCACACUCCUUCCUCACAGAAAUUCUGAGGGCUCCAAGCUGACCUGCUCGCAUUGCCUGCCUCCUCCUCACAUCUCUUGUGAGCCAUCCAAGGCAGAAAAGAAGACCUCACACAAGAUCAGCAAGGCAAAUCUUGUGGGACUGAGGUUUAAUUCCACCAUGUUUCCUUUGGAGUGUGUCAUUUAUUCCACACAGGGAUUCUUCAACUCAAGAGAAGCACCUAUUUUCCUUAUUUGCAGGCAUGUUUUAUUAUCCAGAUAAUACAGCUCAUAUUCACCUGUUUAGUAAGAAGUUCCAUGCAUAAUGCACCUCCACCUAGGACAUACCUAGAAACAAAUGUGAAAAAAAUACACUUGACAUCAGCAGUUAGUAAAAAGAUGCAAGUGCUCACAGCACUUUAAGCUCUUGCCAGCUUCUUUGUUCAAUUCUUUGUUCAUAAAGCUGAAAUGCCCUUUAAUCAGUAAUAUAUUGUAACUAGUUAUCCCUGUCAUACUUAGGCAAAGAAAAUUAGCAUAGUGCAACAAAAAAUCUUGUUUGCUAACUAGACUUAGUUUAAAUCACUGACUGAGCUAUUCUGCACAACUGCAGAGACCAUGGAAAAAGGAAAGUUACUUUUUAUGGCUACUCUACAUAUACAUGGUACCAAUGUGUAGCUAAAAGAAACCAACAAAAAAAAUCAAUUGUGUAAAGAAGUUUAACACUUAUAAAUAAUAUGAGAUAACCAGAUCUUUUCUUCCUCUUUUCCUGUAAAUACCUUUUUUAAAUUUUAAAAACACUUUAUCCAUUGUGCUGACUGGGACUCAGCAGAACACCUGAGCAUGACAACACCUGGACUGAGGGAAGAGAAAUUACCACUGCCAAAAUGUAUUCUCCUCUAUGAUAAAGACAUUUAUACCUUAUAGAUCCAUAUGACAUUCAGAGGGAAAUGACUACUGAAAAGCCAUCCUUUUUUUCAUUCUAAAAAGAAGUCUGUACAAUCAAAUUAGAAUCCAAUGAAUUUUCUGUGUUUGGGUCUGCUUGUUUAAUUUUGAGACAGCAGCAGCCCUCAGGAACCCUAUUUAACUGCACUAACCAUUUACUGAAUUAAAGAAGUACACAUGGCAAUUCAAAUCACGUAAGAAUCAGCACCAGCUAUCACAGACUGCAUUUUCAAAAGCAAGGUAUCAUUUCCUGUCACCAGUACAUGCAUAAAAGCCUUGGAAGGUGAAUUUAAUCGUCUCUCCAUGGAUAUAUUCAAGUCCCAAAGACAAAAGUUCAAAUAUGCUUUAGAUGACAUUUGGAGCAUGUUUUCAAUUAAAUUUUGUGGUUUUGGAUUAGCAUUCAAGGAAUUUUUUUUUAAAAAAUGUAUGGUAGUGUUACCAGCAAUAGAGAGACAGGUAAGACUUUACAGCAAACUUAAGGCAACGCAGGGAUCAAGAGCCCUUCAAAGCACCAACCCAAAGCACCCUUCAACAGGAGAAGGAAGAUCAAGGUUAACCCCCGCAGAGGUCAGUUCUUACACACAUGGCAGGCACAGAGUUUUUCAAGUUGUUACAUUUUGACCAGAAAGCACAGUUUCUGCAGGGUAACUCAAACCUACCCUCCAGUGAGCACAGGAGACACCACUCGCACAAAGGGAGGAUCAAAAGGGAAGUUAUCCUGAGAAGAAUAAUAAAAAAAAACAGUUAAGGAAAAUACUGUGAUAUUGCUUCCCAAACAGAAAGUAUUUCAAUAAUCUUAUGUAUCAAAUCAGAUUUGAAGUACUACAAGUUUUCAGUUCUGUAAAAAUUCCCUUUCCAUAGAGUUGGCUAAAAAGCUUUUUUUUGGGAAGCUUCAGUGCUGAACUUAAAAGUUAGUUUUCUUUUCCUGUCCUGUUUUUUAAUGCCACAGUUCCAUUAUUACCCAAGUAACAGCUGAGGGUCAUUUCAGUAAUUUUCUAUAGUAAGCCUCAAAUUUAAUUGCAGCUUUUCAUCCUACAGACACUUACCUUAAAAGAGAAGUUGAGUAAAAUGUAUUCUACACCUUCUUUUUCUUUUAAGACCUGAAGAUCACUAUGCAGUGGGCUAUCAGGAUCAACCCUAUAAAAGCAGCAGGGGGGAGACCAUGGAUAAAGUUAAUAUUUUCAAUACCUGUGAACAGUAGUUCCUCUUAAAGACUUCCUUUAUGUAAUUGUAGUUUACCAAUUGUAGUUCAAGGUGAAAUGUAGGAAAUUCUUUCUCCUUUUACCAAAUAAAAACUUUGCCACGAGAUCAGCAUGAAAGCUUGCUGCAAUGUACAACAUUCCCAAUGCUAUCCAGUGUUGCUUAAACUCAGCACAAAAUAAGCUGUUUAUUUGAAAAGAGCAAUUUUAAUUCUCUUCAGUUCAGUUGUGUUCAAAUAAGAGGGGAGAAAAACAGAAGACUGUAGUCAUCUUGUUUUCAGCACAUAGUGAAUCCUUUAUGGAAUAUGUAAUUGUAGUUCUGUAUCAGCUGUUAGAAGUAAUCUGCAUCAGCAGAAGUACUAAAGCCAGCAGCUUCUGCUCAGCAGAAUUUCAACAACUGUUUGUUCCAAAACACUGCUGGAGAGCAGCCUGGCCAUUCAUUCAGACACUACUGGGUUAAUCCCAAUGAGUUAAUCUGACACCCGAUGAGCUUUUAAAUAGCAGAGACUAGCCAAAAACACCUGCAGCAAGCCAAAACCAGAUGAUAAAGGGACUGAAAGGCCUUUAAAUCUAAUCCUCUACUACAGCUAAAACUACACAGUUAUAAGAUCUCAUUAUAGAAUUUUUGGGCAGGAAGUCCCCCAUCCUACCAGUGUGAAGCUAUUUCAGAAAAAAAAUCUUCCAGUGCUUAGGAACCUCUCAUUUCAAGCCAUGGCUUUUGCUGGGGCAGUUCAAAGGGACUUGUUCUAAGGAACAAUACUGUCCCUUCCUCACAUGGGCUCUUUCCUCUGAACAUCUACCCCUCAGCUACUCUGCACACAGGGCAUUUGUUUCCAGACACUUUUUGCUGCAAUAAACAAACACAACACUUCUUUUCUUAGACAUUCUGGAAGGCAUUUGCUGCAUAUACUCCAUUUCCUCUUUUCUGAAGGAAGAAAAUGAGACCUCUUCAUAGCACUUGAACAGAGGUUUCAAAUCACUGCACAUGGUUUGAACCCUUAGUUACAGACACACUCAAUAAGAAAGGCC